CAACAGCGUAUAUUAAAGUUGUUGCAGUUAAAAAGCUCGUAGUUGGAUUUCUGGUCGGAAGCUCCUGUCCUCUGAUGAGCGUACAAGUGCGUCCUACCAUCCUUCUGUUAACCUUUAAGGCUUUCGCGGCUUUCUAGGGGCUCAGAUAUUUUACCUUGAGAAAAUUAGAGUGUUUCAGGCAGGCUAGCGCCGGAAUACAUUAGCAUGGAAUAAUGGAAUAGGACUUUUGCCUCUUCUGUUGGUCAUGAGGCUCGAGUAAUGAUUAAUAGGGAUAGUUGGGGGCAUUAGUACUUAACUGUCAGAGGUGAAAUUCUCGGAUUUGUUAAAGACUAACUUAUGCGAAAGCAUUUGCCAAGGAUGUUUNCAUUA
rnacentral:rRNA from 1 species